rnacentral:rRNA from 1 species
UACGUAGGGGGCAAGCGUUGUCCGGAUUCAUUGGGCGUAAAGAGCGUGUAGGCGGCCAGGUAGGUCGGUUGUGAAAACUGGAGGCUCAACCUUCAGACGUCGACCGAAACCAUCUGGCUAGAGUCCGGGAGAGGAGAGUGGAAUUCCUGGUGUAGCGGUGAAAUGCGCAGAUAUCAGGAAGAACACCCGUGGCGAAAGCGGCUCUCUGGAACGGUACUGACGCUGAGGCGCGACAGCGUGGGGAGCAAACAGG